UACGAAGGGGGCUAGCGUUGCUCGGAAUCACUGGGCGUAAAGGGUGCGUAGGCGGGUUUUUUAGUCAGGGGUGAAAUCCUGGAGCUCAACUCCAGAACUGCCUUUGAUACUGAAAAUCUUGAGUCCGGGAGAGGUGAGUGGAACUGCGAGUGUAGAGGUGAAAUUCGUAGAUAUUCGCAAGAACACCAGUGGCGAAGGCGGCUCACUGGCCCGAUACUGACGCUGAGGUGCGAAAGCGUGGGGAGCAAACAGG
rnacentral:rRNA from 1 species